CUCUGUUGCUCUGGAGGUCAGAGAAGAAGAGUCUAGAGACUUGAGGGAGUCCGUGCGCGCGUGUGCUUCCCUCCCUCUCUCUCUCUCUCUCUCUCUCUAUAUAUAUAUAUAUAUAUAUAUAUACGCUCAGAAUACGUAUAGAGAGAGAAAGGAAAAGAAGAGAGAGAAAGGGGGAGGUCAGAGAGAGAGAGAGAGAGAGAGGAGAAAUGGGGAGGCCAAGGUGCUUCUUGGACAUUAGCAUAGGAGGAGAGCUGGAAGGGAGAAUAGUAGUGGAGCUCUAUAACGACGUCGUUCCGAAAACCGCCGAGAAUUUUCGAGCUCUUUGCACUGGUGAGAAGGGCAUUGGCCCAAACACCGGUGUGCCUCUCCAUUACAAGGGGAUUCGUUUUCAUCGUAUUAUUAAAGGUUUUAUGGUACAAGGCGGAGAUAUCUCUGCACAAAAUGGUACUGGUGGUGAAUCUAUUUACGGCUUGAAAUUUGAAGAUGAGAAUUUCGAAUUCAAACAUGAAAGGAAAGGGAUGAUGUCCAUGGCCAACUCUGGCCCCAACACAAACGGGUCUCAGUUCUUCAUCACGACGACCCGAGCUUCCCAUUUGGAUGGGAAACAUGUCGUGUUUGGGAAGGUUGUCAAGGGAAUGGGAGUUGUUCGUUCUAUUGAGCAUGUUGUUACUGACGAUGGAGAUUGUCCCACUAGUGAUGUUAUUAUAGUGGAUUGUGGUGAAAUUCCUGAUGGAGCAGACGAUGGAAUAUCUAAUCUUUUCAACGACGGUGAUACAUAUCCUGAUUGGCCAGCUGACCUUAAUGAGACUUCUAAUGAGCUCUCUUGGUGGGUAGAUGCUGUGGAUAAAAUCAAAGCACUCGGAAAUGAACACUAUAAGAAACAAGACUAUAAGAUGGCUCUUAGAAAGUAUCGCAAAGCUCUACGGUAUCUGGAUAUCUGCUGGGAGAAAGAAGGAAUUGAUGAAGAGAAGAGUACAUCUUUGAGGAAGACAAAGUCACAGAUAUUCACAAACAGCUCUGCCUGCAAACUGAAAAUAGGAGAUCUGAAAGGAGCAUUGUUAGAUACGGAAUUUGCUCUGCGCGAUGGAGAUAACAAUGUAAAAGCUUUGUUUCGCCAAGGUCAGGCAUAUAUGGCUCUAAAUGAUGUUGACUCUGCUGCCGAGAGCUUCAAGAAAGCACUGCAAUUGGAGCCAAAUGAUGGUUAGCGAAACUUAGUGAAGAAAACUUAAUCCGUACUUCUUGUGUCGGGUGGUAUAAAAAAGGAAUAUGCUGUUGCAAUGAAAAAGAUUUCUGAUAGACGUGAUGAGGAGAAAAAGCGAUAUCGCAAGAUGUUCCAGUGAUAGCACUUUCUUCUGGAGAAGGGCUGCUGAUAAAGCAAUAUCAUUUAAUCCUUCAAUUGUCAUGUGGCAGGUCAUAGUUCCAAAGAGUAAACUGUUUUCUUGAUUGCAAGCUCUAGUCUUCUAAAGACGAGAAUACUAGGUAUAGAUUUAGCCCCCUCAUUAUAGGAGCUGGCCAUUAGCAUUAUAUCACAUUUUAUCCAAAUGGGUACAAUAAAACUAGAUUCAUCAAAAUUGUGAGACCAAGAACAAGAAUUAGGAACAGACCUGUAACGGCCAGCUUAAUUGCUUUUUGAAUUCAGGUUUUUAUUAUUGUGUGUUGGAUCUGAUCGUCCUCAAAAUGUUCUAUAUUACAGGUUUGUCUAGAGAGCACAGAGAAUUAUUACAGUAAACUGUACAAAUUCAGGCCUGUUCUUAUUAGAGUUUUGAUACAUGACCAUCACUUUUUAGGGAUUUAGAAUCUUUUGGAUAGGAUUGUCGAAUUUCCUUCCAUUGGAAUCUCACUCUAAGCAAAUCUUGCUUUGUUGUAUGAGAAUUGGAUAACAUAAAUGUUUAUUUGU